UUAAGUUCAGCGGGUAUCCCUACCUGAUCCGAGGUCAAGCGUAAAAUGGUAGACUUGUGGAUGCCACCGUCAGCAGCGGAGAGCGCAAAAUGUGCUGCGCUCCCACACGGGGACGGCGGGCUGCCAAUGCAUUUGAGGCGAGUUCACGCGCGCGACGAAACAACGCCCAACACCCAGCAGGGCUGGAGGGUACAAAUGAC
rnacentral:misc_RNA from 1 species